rnacentral:rRNA from 1 species
UGAGGAAUAUUGCUCAAUGGACGAAAGUCUGAAGCAGCAACGCCGCGUGAGGGAUGAAGGUGCUCUGCAUUGUAAACCUCUGUAGACAGGGAAAAACGACGGGUUACUACCCGUUUGAUGGUACCUGUAAAGUAAGGAUCGGCUAACUACGUGCCAGCAGCCGCGGUAAUACGUAGGAUCCAAGCGUUGUCCGGAUUUACUGGGUGUAAAGGGUGCGCAGGCGGACUUGUCAGUCAGUGGUGAAAUCUCUCGGCUCAACCGAGAAACUGCCAUCGAUACUGCAAGUCUUGAAUUGGGGAGGGAGUUGUGGAAUUCCGAGUGUAGCAGUGAAAUGUGUAGAUAUUCGGAAGAACACCAGUGGCGAAGGCAGCAACUUGGCCCCAGAUUGACGCUCAGGCACGAAAGCAUGGGGAUCAAACAGGAUUAGAUACCCCCGUAGUCC